rnacentral:rRNA from 1 species
CUCAAGCUGAUAAUCGUCGGCGUUAAGCGUGAUUAAAGUUUUUAUGAAUUAGGGUCAAAUUAAUACUUAGUAGUUUUAAGCUUGUUAUUAAGAAGAACACACACGAAAGUUACCCUAACUACACUUGAACCCACGACAGCUGGGGCACAAACUGGGAUUAGAUACCCCACUAUGCCCAGCCGUAAACAAUUAACUCACACUAACAAGCGCCAGGGAAUUACGAGCUAUGCUUAAAACCCAAAGGACUUGACGGUUUCCCACCCCCCUAGAGGAGCCUGUUCUAUAAUCGAUGAUCCCCGCUAUACCCAACCACCCCUCGCUCCAGUCUGUAUACCUCCGUCGAAAGCUUACCGUAUGAACGUUUUCAGUAAGCCUAAUGACCCCCAUCAAUACGUCAGGUCAAGGUGCAGCUUAAGGGAUGGAAAGUAAUGGGCUACAAUUUCUAACCUAGAACAAACGAAAGACUAUGUGAAACCAUGGUCAUGAAGGCGGAUUUAGUAGUAAAAAGAAAAUAGAGUGUUCUUUUUAACAUGGCUCUGGGACGCGUACACACCGCCCGUCACCCUCUUCAAUAUUAUUUUUAUUCAGUUAUUAACCCCUUUUACCUCACAUCUUAGAAGAGGCAAGUCGUAACAUGGUAAGUGUACUGGAAAGUGCACUUGGAACA